CAGAAUAAUACUUUUUAUUUAUUUAUAUAUAAAAUUGAAUCUUAUUCACUGAUGAUAAAGAUAUUACAAAAUAAUUGAUAACAUUGUUUGUACACUUACUCUUACGAGUUGUAUAAUAUUUUAAUAUUGGUAUAAACAACAAAGUAGAUCACGAAAUAGAUUGGCUUUCUAUCAGCGAGAGGGCGCCACUAUGAAGUAUUUGAAGGAUGCGAAUAGUUUUGAAAUUUCCCUCGCAAACGAGAGAAGUUUGUUGCAAAAAGUUUUCAAGAAGAAAUAUAUCAAAUUGAUUUACACAUAUAAAUAUAUAUGAUUAAAUAAUAAAUAUCGGUAUGAAAUAAAUUAUUAAUUUUACAUAUGGGGCAAAUUACAACUGUAGAUUGGUAUUUAAGUUUUGGAGUGAUUGUUCUAUCAACGGUUAUAACUCAUCCAAAUCUUGUGGUUUUUGUAGAAAAACUCUAAGGAAAGCUAUUUUUAUCUCACCCUGUAUAUAUAUACAAGUGACUCGAAAGUUACAAGGCGUUAUAAAGGGUUAAAAAGAAAUUGGUAUGAAACUGCAAGCAGAAUGGUAGGACUCGUCGUUAGUCAAAGUAAAAGGAUUGAUGGGGUUGCUUGAAUUGGAAAAAAGUAACACGAAAUAAGAUUACGAGUGAGUUGUAUCUUAUUGGGCACGCGUGCCGAACGUAAGUCACGCUAACCUUCUUAAUUUUUCGAUUCGACGAAUUCGUCGGUCCUUUUACCGAUGAAUUUCGCGGUAAUUUCAAGACUAUAUUACCUUGGCACACCUGUAUAUGUCGUAGGAGAUGUAUGUUACUUAAAUACGGCCGAUCGUCUUCUACGAAUUCUCUUGGCUGGUUGCAGACCGCGUGUAAUUUUAUCCUCUACAGUAUUCAACUUGUCCAUUAUUCAUUGGCUUUUCUCUCUCUUUUUUUCGUCGUAUAUGUAUAUACUUACUUACGCACACUUAUUCUUUUAUGUACAUUGGCGCCGUAAUUAACUUCGAAACUCAUUUUCAAAUUUCAUAUAUAUUUCAUUUAAAUCAAUACAAUUUAAUCCAUAUGAUUUCAAAGAACAAUAUCAAAUCCUUCAAAUUAUUCUCCAAUUAAUUGUACAAUCUAUAUAAUACAGGCUGUCCCAAAACUCGCUUUACAGAGGAAAGAAAAAGAAGAAAAAAAUCAAUAUUCAUUUAUCAAUGUGUUUUGUUAAAAAAAAAUGUAUGGCUUCACUAUGCCAUCACUUCAAAAAUAUCUAGCAAAAAUAAAAUAUAUAUAAUUGAUUGAUUCGGUUAAAGUGACUUUUGUAUCGUUUAAUUAAACUAUGACGCAUCCCCAUUCGAUUAUUUUUCACCGAUGCGAGAGAGAGGGGUUUGUAUAGUUAAAAAAAGAAAAAUUUUUGUAUUAUUAAUUUUAUAAAAUGUUGGAAAAUUUGGAAAAUCCAAAAAUGGAAGGAUAAAAAUAUUGGAUAGAUCUUGAUGGUGUUAGAAAAACUGGGCGCGUUAUGGAUGAAGACGAUCUACAACAUUGCUGAAAGAGAACGCGAUCGUUUCUAAGAGAAUGAGAUAGAAAUAAAGGCAGAAGUAAAGAAAGAUUACAUAAAAAGAAAUAAAUAAAUAAAUAAAGAAAGAAAGAAAGAAAGGAAGAACGAAAGGGAGAGAAAUAUAUGCAGUAAGUUGCUGAGCACGCAUCGUGCUCGGUGGUACUAAUUUCCGUGAAUCCAACAGCGCCAGGAAACGUUUCUUGUAGCACACCGGGUUGUAAGGAGUUCAUGGAUAGUAACAUUUUAUAGUCAUAUCGGUGAUCAUCAUCGACGGCUCCACGGGCGGCCGAUUUCUUUGCUUCUUCCUGGGGCGACUCUUGAUCCAUGUUUCAUGAGCUACCUUGAGUUUACUUCAAGUAACCAAUGAGCUAUGGGAUCUCUUUUUCUUUAUCGUAACAUCACUUAAGUUAAAUUAACUUAAACGAACACUUUCCUCUACAUCGAUUCUCUGAUAAUUAUCCUUUAUUACUUCUAUUUCUUAUAUAUUACAUAGAU
rnacentral:lncRNA from 1 species